GCCACGGCGAAUAUCGCAUUCGAUGGAACGAUGAGCUGUACGAGAUAUACGACGACAUUGACAUAAUUCAGCGAAUUAAAAGACAGCGGCUACGCUGGCUAGGUCACUCUGAAAGUAUUCGACGCAGUACCCGCCGGGAGAAGCAGAGGAAGAGGAAGACCUCCACUCCGUUGGAAGGACCAUGUGAAGAAAGACCUAGCUUCGCUUGGAAUAUUCAAUUGCCGCCACGUAGCGAAAAGAAGGAGCGAUUGGCGCGCUGUUGUUAACUCGGCAAUAAUCGCGUAAGCGGUAUCUACGCCAAUUAAGAAGAAGAAGGUACAACAUCCGGUGUGUUUAACGUGGGUACUUGUUGACGACAGCCUUACUCCACGGCGCUCAAAAGCACAGCGGAUCAAAAUAAUGCGUUGAUCAGCGCCCUGAGAAUGCUAAGCAUUUUCAGUACCAAUUGGAGUGUGGCAUGGACACACUAACCACCUUGGUCGGGUUCGAGGCCCAUCUAAAACCUCUGCCGUGCUUUGGGUCCGGCACCCGGUUGCAAUGCAACUCCAAAUUCAACUGACAAGGUCAGUUCUUCCCGCAUUUGGGUUUUAACCCCAACCACCACGAAUCUCCACAAAGGGCCAAACCCAAUGAGCAGAUUGGAGUUACCUCCAAGGGCUACUGCUCCCCGUUGUACCAGAAUUAAGUCUCCGGUCAGACCUCGUAGCCGAAGCUACUACCAGUUGAGCUUCCAUACGGCUCUGGACUGGUGGCCAGGAUAUUAGUCGCCUCUUACGACAGGCAUGCCUUACCACGGGUAUAUUCGGUUUCCCCCCGAACCCAAGGGGGUCCCCCCUACCCGCAAGGGGAAAAACAUUACAGGUACAUUAAGUUUGUCACGAAGUUUGUAACAUCCAGAAGGAAGCGUCGGAGACCCUAUUAAGUAUAUAUAUAAAUGAUCAGUAUGUUCAGCUGAGUCGAUUUAGCCAUGUCCGUCUGUCCGUCUGUCUCUGUAUAUAUACGAACUAGUCCCUCAGUUUUUAAGAUAUCGUUUUGAAAUUUUGCAAAAGUCAUUUUCUCUUCAAGAAGCUGCUCAUUUGUCGGAACAGCCGAUAUCGGACCACUAUAACAUGUAGCUGCCAUACAAACUGAACGAUCGGAA